rnacentral:misc_RNA from 1 species
AAAUUUUAAACGUGCAGUCACUUGAGCACGUUUUCAUUAACCAGUGCUCGCUGGCCCGGCGACGAGCUUCGGUUCUUGCUGAAAGCAUUUACUUAUUGUUGUGUGUGAUAAAUUGAGUUACUGUAUCAAGAAAAUGGGGAACAAGCGUGUGAUGCUACCGGCGAGUGAAAUUGACUUGACGGCGGUGAAGUACAUACCGGAGAAUAUUCAAGCUCCACAUUUGACUGGUUUCUGGUUCAAGUUCUUUCUGAACCUGGCUGAAGUACCGGGUAUUGGAUCUUUGAUUGUGAAUCGCCUCAAGAAUGAUAACAAAUUCGACGAGAAGCUGAAGUACACCGUCAUACCGGAGUACCCUAUGUUUAAACCGGAAUUUCCUCCUCAAGAGCCAGAACCUGCUGUUGUCAGCAUCGAAGAAGACGCGAAGCCUGAAGACCGGGUUGAGCUAGCCUUAAAGUGUCUUCCAGAAUAUGAUCCAGCUAGCAAUUGGAGUGGUGAUACAACCACAUCAUUUCGCUAUUGGAAGAUUCGUGAUUAUGCAUAUGCAUACAGAUCUAAGUUUACAACUCCAUCGAUGGUUGCAGAGCGCUUCAUCUCAGCUAUUGAGGAGUUCAACAAUAAGAAUCCCACAACCCCACUAUUAAUUUCUUUUGACCCUGACGAUGUUAGAAAGCAAGCUGCUGCUUCUACACAGAGAUUUGAACAAGGGAAUCCACUCUCAAUCUUGGAUGGGAUUUUCAUGGCAAUCAAAGACGACAUAGAUUGCUAUUCUCACCCAUCAAAGGGAGCAACUACAUGGAUGCAUGAGGUUCGUGAGGUAAAGAAGGAUGCUGUUUCUGUGUCAAGAUUACGCAGUUGUGGAGCAAUUUUGGUUGGAAAGGCGAACAUGCAUGAGUUGGGAUUGGGUACUACUGGAAAUAACGCAAACUAUGGGACUACACGGAACCCACACGAUCCAGAUAGGUACACAGGUGGCUCUUCCUCCGGCCCUGCAGCUAUUGUGGCUUUGGGAUUGUGUUCUGCUGCUUUGGGGACGGAUGGAGGAGGUUCAGUUCGGAUUCCUUCUUCCCUUUGUGGUGUUGUGGGAUUAAAGUCAACAUAUGGUCGAACUGACAUGACCGGGUCAUUAUGUGGUGAUGGAACAGUGGCAAUUAUUGGACCGAUUGCUACAACAGUUGAGGACACCAUACUUGUGUAUGCAGCAAUUUUGGGGUCCUCUCCCGCUGAUAGAAUCUCUUUGAGACCGUCCCUCCCUUGUGUACCUAAUUUCUCUUCACAAGAGAGCUUGCAAUCUGUGGAAUCGCUGCGCCUUGGAAAAUAUACAGAGUGGUUUAAUGAUGUCUUCUCAAUUGAUAUAUCUGACAAGUGCGGGAAUGUUCUCAGUCAGCUAUCAGAAGAGCAUGGAUGCAGAAUCGUAGAAAUUGUAAUACCAGAGUUGCAUGAGAUGCGCAUAGCUCAUGUUGUUUCUAUUGGAUCGGAAGCAUUAUGCGCACUGAAUCCAGACUGUUGUGAUGGGAAGGGAGAGAGAUUGACAUAUGAUACUCGCACCAAUCUGACACUUUUUCGUUCAUUUACAGCAGCAGACUAUGUUGCUUCUCAGCGGCUUAGGCGGAGGUUAAUGUAUUUCCAUAUGGAGAUUUUCAAGAGGGUGGAUAUCAUUGUGACACCAACAACUGGCAUGACA